rnacentral:lncRNA from 1 species
AGUUCUCUCGCGACCUCUAGCCACUUCCGGUUGCUAACGGUUCCCAAACAGCCCCCGAAAACGCUACGUGAGCUGGGCCCUGGGCCAGAGGCAGAAAACGGACGGAAGAAAAGGUCUGGCCGGAGAUGGGUCUCACUCUGUCACCCAGACUGGAGUGCAGUGAGUGGUGCGAUCAUAGCUUACUGCAGCCUGAAACUCCUGGGCUCAAGUGAUCUUCUCGCCUCAGCCUCCUGAGUAGCUGGAGCUACAGGAAUGAGCAUAGAUGAACAAUGUUGCAUCACGCUUGACAUCACCGGGGCUUCUUUCCAGUGUGGAUUUGCUCAUGUAAAAUGAGGUGUGAGCUCUGCCUGAAAGCUUUUCCAUAUGCAUCACAUUUGCAGGGCUUUUCUCCAGUGUGGGUUCUUUGGUGUCUCAAAAGAUGUGAGCUGUUACUGAAAGCUUUCCCACACACAUCACACUCAUAGGGCUUCUCUCUACCGUGGAUUCGCUGGUGUCCAACAAGAGCUGAACUGUAUCUGAAGGCCUUUCCACGCUUGUCACAUUCAUAUAGUUUCUUUCCACUGUGGAUUUUCUGGUGACAGAAGAGGCCCAAGCACUAGCUAAAGCUUUUCCCUC